rnacentral:lncRNA from 1 species
UUGGCUUUAAUGAUGGCUCUCAGCUUCUCAAUUUCCUCAUACGGCUCAUGUUGCAACCCUUGCGUGGUGGAAUCUUUCAACCAAUCCUCGUAUGGUGCGGUCAUUACCCCCUUCUGUUUGAGCUCCGGAAGAUAACGAAUGCUUCUAUCGUCGGAUAUUGUUCUCCAAGAUUCAGUGAUUUGGCUCUUCAUAGGGAUCUCUUUUGGGCAUACCCCCUGAUCAAAGAAAAUGGUGACUUCACUAAACUCGGAAAUCGGUGGCGGCCCCUGAAUGCGACCUAGUUGUCUGAGAAAUCUCUUCGGGGUAUAUGAGAUGAUUCCUUGAGUACCCAGCAAGAGAACACGUUC